GAUGAACGCUGGCGGCGUGCCUAAUACAUGCAAGUCGAGCGAACAGACGAGGAUCUUGCUCCUCUGACGUUAGCGGCGGACGGGUGAGUAACACGUGGAUAACCUACCUAUAAGACUGGGAUAACUUCGGGAAACCGGAGCUAAUACCGGAUAAUAUAUUGAACCGCAUGGUUCAAUAGUGAAAGACGGUUUUGCUGUCACUUCUAGAUGGAUCCGCGCCGCAUUAGCUAGUUGGUAAGGUAACGGCUUACCAAGGCAACGAUGCGUAGCCGACCUGAGAGGGUGAGCGGCCACACUGGAACUGAGACACGGUCCAGACUCCUACGGGAGGCAGCAGUAGGGAAUCUUCCGCAAUGGGCGAAAGCCUGACGGAGCAACGCCGCGUGAGUGAUGAAGGUCUUCGGAUCGUAAAACUCUGUUAUUAGGGAAGAACAAAUGUGUAAGUAACUAUGCACGUCUUGACGGUACCUAAUCAGAAAGCCACGGCUAACUACGUG
rnacentral:rRNA from 1 species